GGCGGGAUAGCACAGUUGGCAGUGCGUCGGGUUCAUACCCCGGAGGCCGGAGGUUCAAAUCCUUCUCCCGCAA
rnacentral:tRNA from 1 species